GAUGAACGCUGGCGGCGUGCCUAAUACAUGCAAGUCGAGCGAGCGGACGAGAAGCUUGCUUCUCUGAUGUUAGCGGCGGACGGGUGAGUAACACGUGGAUAACCUACCUAUCAGACUGGGAUAACUUCGGGAAACCGGCGCUAAUACCGGAUAAUAUUUUGAACCGCAUGGUUCAAAAGUGAAAGACGGUCUUGCGGUCACUUAUAGAUGGAUCUGCGCUGCAUUAGCUAGUUGGUAAGGUAACGGCUUACCAAGGCAACGAUGCAUAGCCGACCUGACAGGGUGAUCGGCCACACUGGAACGGAGACACGGUCCAGGCUCCUACGGGAGGCAGCAGUAGGGAAUCUUCCGCAGUGGGCGAAAGCCUGGCGGAGCAACGCCGCGUGAGUGAUGAAGGUCUUCGGAGCGUAAAACUCUGUUAUUAGUGAUGAACAUAUGUGGAAGUAACUGUGCACAUCUUGACGGUACCUAAUCAGAAAGCCACGGCUAGCUACGUG
rnacentral:rRNA from 1 species